CAUUCGACUCUGAUGGUCCAGAGGCUAUCGUGGUGUUGAUCCUACUUGAGGUCCUUCUGCCAUGAUGCUCCGCCCUGCCUCAGCCCAUGGCAAGGGAGCCAGCCACGGACUGAGCAUGAGCCAAAAUCCGUCUGUCCUCCUUCAAGCUGUUGGUCACAGGGUGAAAGCGGACUACUGUGGACUCACCGAGCUUUCGAGGACACCAUGAUUUCUGGAUUUUUCUGCUGCAUUUCCUCCUCUUCACUCCAGGCUGCUGGCCUCUCCUCUGCUGCCGACUGGGGAGCCUCAGAGUGCCCUGUUCCAGCCAGACGCUCUGGUGUCCACGAGGACUCCACGGCCCCUUCCUGCCCCAGCCAGGUCGCCUCUCCAGCCUGACCUCGGCCCGGGGCCAGACGUGUGCUCCUACUCCCGUCCCUUGGGUCCACCAUCCUGAACCCAGCGUGUCCCAGGCUGGGCUCCUGCCUUUGCCUUCGCAGGCCGCUCCCUCAGUCUUGCCCACUCUUCCAGUUGCUCAGGCCAACAGCUGGGGUCACCCUGGAAACGUCUUUCUUACUCGAAGGCCACACCCUAUCCCUCAGAAAGGUCUUGCGGCUCGACCUCAGUGUCCGCCGCCAUCGGCGUCCCGGGUUAGAGCAGAGGCCUCCCUCAUGGCCUCUGUGCCCCCCUCUUGCCUGGUAUCAGCCAGGGCCACGGCGGGGGACAGAGGAUCUGUGUCCUGGGACCCGGGAUGUGACUACGGAGCGGUUGCCAAGCUGCAGGUCGUGGGCAAGGUCGAGGACACCGAGGUCCCUAGGACAGGUUCCCUCAUUGCUGAUGGGAGUCCUGUUUGGGGUGGGAAAUCAGCUGCUGCCAAACUUCAGCCCGAGAGAGAGAGAGAAAGAGAGAGAGAGAGAGAGAGAGAGAGAGAGAGAGAG